AGGGGUCACAGCUCAGUGGUAGAACAUCCGCCUUGCACGCAGAAAGCCCCAGGUUCAAAUCCCAGCACCUUUA